UACGUAGGGGGCAAGCGUUGUCCGGAAUCAUUGGGCGUAAAGAGCGUGUAGGCGGCUUGGUAAGUCCGCUGUGAAAGUCCAGGGCUCAACCUCGAGACGCCGGUGGAAACCAUCAGAACUAGAGUCCGGAAGAGGAGAGUGGAAUUCCUGGUGUAGCGGUGAAAUGCGCAGAUAUCAGGAAGAACACCCGUGGCUAAGGCGGCUCCUCUAGUACGGUACUGACGCUGGACGCGAAAGCGUGGGGAGCGGAACAGG
rnacentral:rRNA from 1 species